CCUACGGGAGGCAGCAGUGGGGAAUAUUGGACAAUGGGCGAAAGCCUGAUCCAGCAAUGCCGCGUGAGUGAUGAAGGCCUUAGGGUUGUAAAGCUCUUUUACCAGGGAUGAUAAUGACAGUACCUGGAGAAUAAGCUCCGGCUAACUCCGUGCCAGCAGCCGCGGUAAUACGGAGGGAGCUAGCGUUGUUCGGAAUUACUGGGCGUAAAGCGUACGUAGGCGGUUAUUCAAGUCAGAGGUGAAAGCCUGGAGCUCAACUUCAGAACUGCCUUUGAAACUAGAUAGCUAGAAUCUUGGAGAGGUGAGUGGAAUUCCGAGUGUAGAGGUGAAAUUCGUAGAUAUUCGGAAGAACACCAGUGGCGAAGGCGACUCACUGGACAAGUAUUGACGCUGAGGUACGAAAGCGUGGGGAGCAAACAGGAUUAGAUACCCUGGUAGUCCACGCCGUAAACGAUGAUAACUAGCUGUUCGGGCUCUACGAGCUUGAGUGGCGCAGCUAACGCAUUAAGUUAUCCGCCUGGGGAGUACGGUCGCGAAGAAUUAAAACUCAAAAGAAUUGACGG
rnacentral:rRNA from 1 species